rnacentral:lncRNA from 1 species
GGCAACCCUUAUUUUAAUGUACAAAUAGGCGGGUACGCUAAGAAGAGCACCUGUCGCUGUUUUUCGUUCCUCUAGUAAGACUGCUGAGACUGAUUUGCGGGGAAAUGACUGGCAAGUACGUGCUCUCGGCUUUCAUUCUAUUUAUCGUUCUGGCUACCACGAAUUCAACUGAAAACCCCUGCGCGGGUAUAGACGACGAAGCAUGCAUAAA